rnacentral:misc_RNA from 1 species
UUAAGUUCAGCGGGUAAUCCUACCUGAUCCGAGGUCAACCUUCUGUAAGAUUUAGGGGGGGUUUAACGGCCGGAGAACGCUGGGGACCGCAGGCGAGAUAUCGCUACUACGCCCGGACCUCCAGCGAGCCCGCCACUAAUUUUCAGGGCCUACGCUCGCGCGUAGCGCCCCAACACCAAGCGGAGCUUGAGGGUUGAAAU